rnacentral:rRNA from 1 species
UCCGUAGGCGGACUAAUAAGUCAGGGGUGAAAUCCAACAGCUUAACUGUUGAACUGUCUUUGAUACUGUUAGUCUUGAAUUAUAUGGAAGUAGAUAGAAUGUGUAGUGUAGCGGUGAAAUGCUUAGAGAUUACACAGAAUACCGAUUGCGAAGGCAGUCUACUACGUAUAUAUUGACGCUAAUGGACGAAAGCGUGGGGAGCGAACAGGAUUAGAUACCCUGGUAGUC